rnacentral:misc_RNA from 1 species
AGACAUGGCAUUGCACCUUUCUCUAUUUCCCAUUCUUUUAAUACUGUAAGAAAUUCAAGUUUAAGAAUCUCUAGUUGAGGAAACCCCUGUGCAGAGCAGAGCAUUUUAGUUCCCUUAUAUGAAUUCUCCUCCAAGUAUAGAAACCUCAAAUUAGGCAGCUUCUCCAGAAAUAUCAUGGGAUCUUGCAUUAACCGAGAAUUACUCAAAAUUAACUUGGUGAUGCUUGCUGGUAGAUAUCCCAAGUUGUGAUUGAGCGACUCUGGAUAUUCUGGUAUAAUUCCAUUCAACUCUAGCUUCGUUAAACAUUGACAACGAGAAAGUGGCUCCAAGUUUGGAAAUGAGCUUUGCUUUCCCUGUAUGUUCAAAGAACGAAGACGACCUGUUGAAAAAAUUGGAGAUUUCAUAACCCCAUCAAUUUCUUCCCUUCUCCUGAAAUCGAUUGCUAAAUUUCGAAGAUUAGUCAAAUUCUGCAUUGCAUUUUUCCGAACAAGAUUCUCACAGUGUGUCCACCUCAAGGUCUCCAGGUUUCUUAAUGUAUCCAUCUGACAAUGACCCAGAAUAUUAUGCAAGUCUAUCAGUAAAUGUCUCAAAUCUUCUAGCGUCCACACUACAUCAGGCAGUCUUCCUAAUUGAUUAUCUCGUACAUCAAGGGUGUAUAAGCUCCUCAGCUUACCUAUGGACAUUGGCAAUGAUGUUUCCGAGGAUAAUUCAGUUUUUCGUAAUCCAAGAUACCUCAGAUGAAUCAGAUCACCAAUUUCAUUUGGUAGAUUUCCGAUAUAAACACCCUUAA